UCACAAUGGAAGACAAUUUGAUGUUAACAGAAUGGUAAAGCUCAAUUUGAAAACAAUUUACCUUUCAUCACGAAAAGACAGAUACAGGCAAAAAGUUGCCAAAAAUUCAUCAACUGAAACUUCUUGUUAUUGUUUUUGCUAGAUACCAUUUGAUGACCAUUUGCUGGCACGAGGACCCUAUUUUUCGCCCAGAAUUUAUUCAUCUUCGUAACAAAUUGCUCGAAUUUAUCGAAAAGGAGUUAUACUUUGGGCUGAUGGACCAGUCCAAGUACGAUGGAUCGAAAUACUCAGACGUUGAAGACAUUGUUGCAGUUAUUAAGCCCCUCUCAAGAAACAAAUGGUCAAGUCUGAAGCAUGGAGGAAUCAACUAGUUGAAGAUAUAUGGGUCCAGGCACAUUACCAAGUAAAUAAAUCAUUUAGUUAAUACAAAUUAAUUCGAAUACCUCAUAGAAUAGGUUUGCUUGGCAAACCAAUCAAUCAACAAUCUUUAAUUACAGCAGUUUUCACAUUUUUUUUGUCAGAAACCAAAAUCAAAGCAAUCAGAGAGCCAAUCACAAGCACAGGCCACCAACUAUGAACAUGUAGAAUUCACGGAGUAGUUUAGUUGUGCUCACAAACCAAUUGCAGUCAGGAGUAAAAGUAAAAUCAAUCGUGUCAGUUACUUUGAAAAAGCGAAAUGACCCAAUGAGACAAACCAAGAUCAAUAUCACACUUGUUUUUUCCACUAAUCAAAAUGAUUUGCCUGUUGAACAAGCACCGAUACCUGUCUUAUUUCUAAUUGGUCGAGUAAUUACUCACCAUUC